GACAGAGGGUGCAAACGUUGUUCGGAAUUACUGGGCGUAAAGCGUGUGUAGGCGGUCUCGUAAGUCGGAUGUGAAAGCCCUGGGCUCAACCCAGGAAGUGCACUCGAAACUGCGAGGCUAGAGUAUCGGAGAGGUUGGUGGAAUUCUCGGUGUAGAGGUGAAAUUCGUAGAUAUCGAGAGGAAUACCGGUGGCGAAGGCGGCCUUCUGGACGGUGACUGACGCUGAGACGCGAAAGCGUGGGGAGCAAACAGG
rnacentral:rRNA from 1 species